rnacentral:rRNA from 1 species
CAAUAGCGUAUAUUUAAGUUGUUGCAGUUAAAAAGCUCGUAGUUGGAUUUCGGGUAGGAUUUGCCGGUCCGUCUUUGAGAUGUGUACUGGUAAGUCCUAUCUUCUUGUCGGGGACCAGCUCCUGGGCUUCACUGUCCGGGACUGGGAGCCGACGAAGUUACUUUGAGUAAAUUAGAGUGUUCAAAGCAAGCCUACGCUCUGAAUAUAUUAGCAUGGAAUAACACGAUAGGACUCUGGCUUAUCUUGUUGGUCUGUGAGACCAGAGUAAUGAUUAAGAGGGACAGUCGGGGACAUUCGUAUUUCAUUGUCAGAGGUGAAAUUCUUGGAUUUAUGAAAGACGAACUUCUGCGAAAGCAUUUGCCAAGGAUGUUUUCAUUGA